GGUUGUAGCUCAAUGGUAGAGCACUCACCUCUCACAUGUGAGGCACUGGGUUCGAUCCUCAGCACCA
rnacentral:tRNA from 1 species